CGGUAGAGACCCCGCGGCCUGCGCACCAGCCGUGCUUGCCGCAGCGCCCGAGGCUGGGUGCGCGUCGAGAACAGUGUGGUGAGGGAGCAGGGCGAGGGAGGUGAGCCUGCCCCUCUGCUCAGCCCUAGCGAGACCACAUCUGGAGUGCUGUGUCCAGGCUGUUUGACAAAACAGGCAAGGUGCCAUUGACUUUGCAGAAAGAGGAUAAAUACACAAUGUCUUCAUGGAGUGUUUUGUAGCGAGGACACUUGGCUGAAGAAUGGCUCACAGGCACGGACUGGCAGAAGUGAUGCUUGUAAUGCAAGGGUACAUCCAGAACGCCACACUGCCGUGCUGGGAGCAUGAGCUCAAGCACACGGCUCCCUGCUGCACUGUGCGUCACUGACCUGUGUGACCCGCCUUCGGCAAGACACGGCGCUCCGAGUGCCUCUGCUCAGGUGCUAUAUGCCAGAUGGACUUUUUGAAGAGAUUAAAUGAAGGAUCAUUUGUCAAGCAGCUGCAUCAGGAAGGAUUUUUCAUGUGUGGGGGAAUGUACAAGGAAAAGCAUGACAACGUUUGUGUCCCUAUUCCUGUAAUUCACUGGCGGAUCAAGUUUAGUGGAUUCGUAGGGUAUUUGAUUUUAUCAGUCAUUAAAAUCCAAGUAGCUUUCUUAGCUAAUGUUUCAAUUAAAAAUCAAAACAUCUAAAGUCUACCUCUCGAAUGUGCUGUAUGCCAUUGUGUUCUCUAAUAUAUGCCAUUUCUCAGUAGUCUUUCAGUCCAUUUAAUGAACUGUGUUGUCACCUGGUGAAACUGUUGGUCUUGUGAAGUCCCAAUCCAACAAACACGUGUGUGGUUAAAUUCAUUGCUGUGCAGAAACUUGUGAAGGAAAGCCAGCCAUCUGCCUAAAAUUUUGCGUGUGAUAGGAGCUAAGGUUCAUUACGUUUCUCUGAAAAUGCAAGAUCCAUCUUGGCAUUUUAUGUGACCAUACUGCACAUGCAACACAAUGAAGUUAUCAAUGUUUAAAAUAUAAAAGAAAGUCAAAAGUGAAAGAUGGCAAAUCUUUUUCCUCAUGAUGCCAUCAAAAUACAGGAUACAAUCUAAGGUCAGCCAACAAGUUGAUGCUAUGUGGAUUCUUGUUCAAAAGAAGAGUGGCUGACCUGCCUUGGAGAGAUGUUGACAUUAAGAAAGAGCAACCAUAUAAAAACAAAUAUAAAAAUAUAUCAAUAUAUCAAAAAGUAUCAAAUUUGCACAAAUUGAUACCCUGUCUUGGACUUUCAGUAUGCAGUAAAAGGAUGUAACCUGGCUGCAGGCAGAACUGCUGUUGCUCUCCUGCACCUUCAGCUUUUACAGGAGUUAAGUGUAGACUUAAAAAUGCGUUUAUGAAGUACUGUUGGGAUGCUUGGAUUAAUGAUUCUGCUGUUUUACAUGUUGCAAAAUUAAUCACAUUGAUUUAACAGUGUACUUAACUUCUUUGGCAUUAUUUGAAUUAGAUUUCACACUACUGAGCUGGUGGUCUUGUGACACAACAGAGCACUCGUCAUUUCCAUGUGGGUGCUGUGUGCACAGUGGAGGGGUAGCUCAGUCUUGAAAUACUUAUACUGUGAAAAGAAAGAGUUUACUUGGUAGGAAAUGGAGAACCCAUAGUCUGAAUCCAACCCCGUCCAGCUAUCAUGAAAAAUACUGGAAGAAAAUAAAAAAAUCAAACAAAAGCCUGAUAUUCUUUAUUUUUAUUAUAAUUUUAACAACAUGAGUAAAUUGAAAUCUGUAAGCAAAGCAAUUACAUGAAGAGGGUCUAAUAAAGUUGUUCAAGCUACAACCUACUUUGAUUGUUGAAUCAAACUGAAUAAAGCAGGCUGCUUUGAUGGGUUUUUAGCUUCCACGAACAUAAUUGGCAGUGACAUCUUUCAUCUUUUGCUUUAAUGGCAAUGGUCUUCUGUAGGCUGGGAAUUUCAUAAUCAGCUGAAAGUUAAAAAAAAAAAAAAUUAAAAUUGGUCACUACUACAAACAGGAAAAUUGCAGAACCAAGUCCUGUCCUCAGUUCAGCUGGUGAAAUAUCACCAGCUUUGACAAGAUUCGAUUAUUUUAAAAUUCUCCCUGACUUGAGCAGAGAGCAAGUCAAAAUCUGUGGAUCAGAUUUUCAGAGGUUCCAUGACUAAGGGUAAUUAAGGAUCUUAGAAAAGCCCAGCCAAGCAACCCAACCUGACCACUGUAAAGGUGGUUACAGGUUAUUCCCAGAGGAAAAAUCUUACGAGUCGGAACCACAUUUCUUCACAAAAGCUACAGUCAGUGAUCCAGAUUCCAUCCUUGGACUUCAGGGGGAACUUACAAGCUUAGAAAGGGAGUUUUCCCAGGAUCACAGCUAUAAUAUUUGGACUGUAUUGAGGGAGGAGGAGGGCUGGCAUAAUGUAUUUAAAUCAAGAGACAACAACACAUCUGCUUUUGCAGCCACUAAUGUAGCUCCUGGUAGCCGCUUUUUAAUAUCACAUCUCAAACCUUCAGACAAGUGAAACUCGUGGCACGUUCCCAAACCAUGUCCUUCUGUGGUAGUACUGGAAACCACCCAGCAUUAGGAAUUAGGACAUUAGGAAUCUUUGUUUGAUGGCAUUUGGCGUGUUCUUCCGCUUUGGCAGCUUCUCCAAACCUCACCAUCUACCAGCUAGCCUUAUGAAACAUGAGAAGCAUGCCAGUCCUCCUGCUUCCAGCAACCUCACGACCCCUUCCCAAGGAGCAUGUUCUCCAUCCUUUUGAGGACAAGUACCUGCUUUGCUCUCCGUCCAGGAGGCAGUGAUAUGCAGCGAUGUCUUUUUCCAGCUGUUGUUUGCUAGUCAGCAGAUUUUCACGAUCCCUCUGCUGCUGCUCAGUUUCUACUUUGAUUUCUCCCAUCUCUGCCUCCAGCUUGGAAAUGACAGAGCCUAGGUUCUGCAGUUCUAUGUCGUGCCAGUGCUUGGCAUCAUAUAAAGAGUUCUCCAGACCCCUCUUCUGCAAGGACAGGACAGCAGACAAUAAAUCAAUCAGUUUCCAUAUGCUUCAUAGUGAUUUUGGUUCAGGUUUGGCCAGUAUCUCUAUUGACUGUAUAUAUUUUGACAGUUCCUUUCUUUAGCUACCUGGAUAUUAGGUAUUAGCAUUACAAAAGUUGAAGUCCUUUCACAAGGUGCAGAUAUUCCUCACAUUGUCUAGUACUACGCUACCAAGCAAUCUCGGUGAGACUGAGUAUGAAUACACUGAACAUGGAAAUUUGGAGCCUGGUUGUCACGUGUGGUAUGCUUGGAGCACCAUUUCAAUCAAGAGGAGCCCAGAAAUAUCUGGUAUCUCUGGCAACCGUGUCUGGUUGAAAAAGGGAUUCAUUCUUAACUCUGCAUCCCAAGACAGGAAUGUUCCCCUCAGAAGCUGUGUUGAGUUCACAGAGCAUACACCCACUGCAAACCCAGCAUCUCUUACCAAAGUUCUCAAAGAUUCAGUUUCUGCUUGCAAGCUCUGUAUUUUGCAGGCAGUUUCGUGGAACUCGGUUCUGAGGCCCUCCACCAGCUCUUCCUCCUGGGUUCGCACGGCAGCCGUCGUCUCAGCCUGUUGCUGGUGAAAGAAGGCGACUGUCAUCACAACCUACGCAAGUUAUGGUUUAGCUUCCUUACAUACCAAGCUGACAGUAAUAUUUUCACAGUUUGUGGCAAUUCUGACUCUAAGUUUGAUUCCUGUGUAUUAAAUCCCUUGGUUGUACAAUUCUGGAUACAUCUUAGUGUCAAACUUUUCAUAUUUUCUAGGCAUUUACUGUAAAAUGGUUUAUGCAUACAAAUGAAUUUAUGUUAUCCGUGUCAACA